rnacentral:rRNA from 1 species
GAUGAACGCUGGCGGCGUGCCUAAUACAUGCAAGUCGAGCGAACAGACGAGGAGCUUGCUCCUCUGACGUUAGCGGCGGACGGGUGAGUAACACGUGGAUGACCUACCUAUAAGACUGGGAUAACUUCGGGAAACCGGAGCUAAUACCGGAUAAUAUAUUGAACCGCAUGGUUCAAUAGUGAAAGACGGUUUUGCUGCCACUUAUAGAUGGAUCCGCGCCGCAUUAGCUAGUUGGUAAGGUAACGGCUUACCAAGGCAACGAUGCGUAGCCGACCUGAGGGGGUGAUCGGCCACACUGGAACUGAGACACGGUCCAGACUCCUACGGGAGGCAGCAGUAGGGAAUCUUCCGCAAUGGGCGAAAGCCUGACGGAGCAACGCCGCGUGAGUGAUGAAGGUCUUCGGAUCGUAAAACUCUGUUAUUAGGGAAGAACAAAUGUGUAAGUAACUAUGCACGUCUUGACGGUACCUAAUCAGAAAGCCACGGCUAACUACGUG